rnacentral:rRNA from 1 species
GGGGGGGGGGGGGGGGGGGGGGGGGGGGGGGGGGGGGGGGGGGCGGGCGGGGGGCGUGCGGCUCUGGCGUUAGCGGCGGGCGGGCGGGGGACACGGGGGUAGCCUGCCUAGAGGGCUGGGGUAACUUCGGGGGACCGGAGCUAAUGCCGGAGCCUCUAUUUAACCGCAUGGUUCAAUAGGGAAAGACGGUUUUGCUGUCACUUAUAGAUGGAUCCGCGCCUCAUUAGCUAGUUGGUAAGGUAACGGCUUACCAAGGCAACGAUGCGUAGCCGACCUGAGAGGGUGAUCGGCCACACUGGAACUGAGACACGGUCCAGACUCCUACGGGAGGCAGCAGUAGGGAAUCUUCCGCAAUGGGCGAAAGCUUGACGGAGCAACGCCGCGUGAGUGAUGAAGGUCUUCGGAUCGUAAAACUCUGUUAUUAGGGAAGAACAAAUGUGUAAGUAACUAUGCACGUCUUGACGGUACCUAAUCAGAAAGCCACGGCUAACUACGUG